CGCUUGAGAACGCUGCAAGAAUACUUGAGAAUGCUGUGAGAACGCUUGAGAAUGUUGUAAGAACACUUGAGAAUGCUGUGAGAACGCUAUAAGAACGCUGUAAGAAUGCUUGAGAAUGCUGUAAGAACGCUUAAGAAUGGUGAGAGAACGGUGUAAGAACGCUGUAAGAACGCUUAAGAAUGGUGAGAGAACGCUGUAAGAACGCUUGAGAACGCUGUAAGAACGCUUAAGAAUGGUGAGAGAACGCUGUAAGAACGCUUGAGAACACUGUAAGAACGCUUAAGAAUGGUGAGAGAACGGUGUAAGAACGCUUGAGAACGCUUUAAGAACGCUUAAGAUUGGUGAGAGAACGGUGUAAGAACGCUUAAGAGUGGUGAAAGAUUGCUUAAGAAUGCGUGAGAAAAUGGUUUGAGAAUGUCCUUGAGAACGGGUAAGAUCGCUGAGAACGCUUAAGAUUCCCUGCAAAGAGCGCUCUCUUGAGAUCGCUUAAGAACGCUUGAGAAGGCACAAUCUUAAAACAUGGCAGAUAAGAGCGUUCUCAGAACGCUCUUAACAGCGGCAUCUACUUGUGCUUUAUAUGGCUUAAGAUCGCGUUGAGAGCGCUCUUAAAGCGGUUUCAUUUUGGUAGGGGUAGGGUCGGGCUGGAGCCAACUAUAGCACAGCCAGAGACUCUUGAUCCUGAGUAAGGUAAUUAUUACAAAGACGAUAACACUUGUUAGUUUGAUGCUGCAAUGAGUGGCAAAGCACAAUGAGACAGGUACAGAUCCUGCCUGUGGGUCGCCGCUGUACUGCCAAGAGAUUGGCUGGCGCUAAUGAAAGGCACCAACGGCAAAUAUAUUUGAGGUGGAACCAUUCUGUUUAUUCAUGCAAGCAGCUAACCGCGGUCUAUGUGAGCGAGGUAGUUCGACUGUGCAAGCAUGGCAGUCCAGCAGCCAAGCUGGCUAAGUCGUAUUCAUUUCUUUAACUUUAUGUCCGUGUAUAUUUUGCAUUUUUGUGUUAUGUUGGGUUCAUUGUUCAUUUCUUCUCUUCCGUCAGCGGUUGCUCCAGAUCCGUGGUCAAGGUUGGAUAUUACUUGUGCUGGGCUAAAUAGCAUCAAGUUCAAAUCCUUUCCAGACUGCUUAUGCACGGCAUACUGUCAUUGCUACCGCUCAUUAUUGCGCUCGCCAAUGAUCGGCCCAAAAAUUAUAAUAGUCGUAGAAAUAGUUCUUUGUUCUUUCUGAAAAGCUGUAACUCUUAGGUGAAAAAUGAUUCUUCCUUUCUUUCUAACUCUAAAAAGGUAACCUCUUAGGUAAAAAAUGAUACUGCCAUACAGUCUCUAUAGGGAAGAAGGCCAAUGAUGCCGUACAGUCCCUAUAGGGAAGAAGGCCAAUGAUGCCGUACAGUCUCUAUAGGGCCCUCAAGUCGUAAAGCCUAAAGGGAAUUCUAUCCGUCGCUGUCUCUACAUGCUAAGCGGAAUCUGCAGCAAUUUUUCUUUGAAGUAUAUGACAGCAAGUUUAAGCAUAUUGAUUUUUAGCCUUGUAGCGUGCUUGAUGCUGUGUGGUUAAAGCACUGUGUUCCGCGUCAGCGUCCAUUUUGCCUGCCAAAAGUGGUGAACCACUUAAUCAAAUGCAAAUUUACAAUGCCAUAAAAACGAAAAUGUAGGUAGUGCUGUUACGCACUUUUCGGCGGCGGCAAGAUUUCGCACGGCAUCAUCGCACGACCGAUCUGCGUCGCUGUUCAGCCAGUAUUUAACCCAGUACAUAAAUAGCAAACACUCAGUUUUACAUAUGACUUCUUCUUUUCACAAUUUGUAAGGUUAGUUUGGCUUCUUUUCCUUCGCCGUUAUCGUUGUGAUAGACUGAUCCUUGAGUUAAUACAUUCAUUAAAGCCUUGGACUGCUAGUGAAUAUAAAGCUAAUAAAUGCUGUCAUUGUCGGUACAAUCGCUGACACCAAACACACACAAUUUACUUUGAUUAAUCGCAUGACAUAACAAUGGAGGCGAAACAUACACGCCCCCCUCCCCCAACCAGCCCCAGCCACCCUCCAUAGCAUCAGGAACAAGAAAGAGGGCAACAGGUAACGAUUCCACAACGAAACACACAACCGUGGCACAGAUGUGGCCCACCACUACCUGCCUACAUCAAACAAAUCUGCCGUACUCCGAUAGCCAUAUCAGAGUACGACAGCGUUUUGAUGCCCCACGUAAAACACAUAAGAGCCCCGACCCUCGCCCCCAUCUUACCUCCAUUCCCGGCUGGACGUCGGCCCCAUCUUCCGAGGCCUGCUGCACGUGCAGCACAUGGAUGGGAACAUGACAAUUAGCAUCAGGAACAAGAAAGAGGGCAACGGGUAACGAAUACACAACGAAACACACAAACGUGGCACAGAUGUGGCCCACCACUACCUGCCUACAUCAAACAAAUCUGCCGUACUCCGAUAGCCAUAUCGUAGUACGACAGCGUCUUGAUGCCCCACGUAAAACACAUAAGAGCCCCGACCCUCGCCCCCAUCUUACCUCCAUUCCCGGUUGGACGUUGGCCCCAUCUUCCGAGGCCUGCUGCACGUGCAGCACAUGGAUGGGAACAUGACAAUUAGGGCAGGCACGUCAAUGGCGGAGGCGAAACAUACACGCCCCCCUCCCCCAACCAGCCCCAGCCACCCUCCAUAGCAUCAGGAACAAGAAAGAGGGCAACAGGUAACGAUUCCACAACGAAACACACAACCGUGGCACAGAUGUGGCCCACCACUACCUGCCUACAUCAAACAAAUCUGCCGUACUCCGAUAGCCAUAUCAGAGUACGACAGCGUUUUGAUGCCCCACGUAAAACACAUAAGAGCCCCGACCCUCGCCCCCAUCUUACCUCCAUUCCCGGCUGGACGUCGGCCCCAUCUUCCGAGGCCUGCUGCACGUGCAGCACAUGGAUGGGAACAUGACAAUUAGCAUCAGGAACAAGAAAGAGGGCAACGGGUAACGAAUACACAACGAAACACACAAACGUGGCACAGAUGUGGCCCACCACUACCUGCCUACAUCAAACAAAUCUGCCGUACUCCGAUAGCCAUAUCGUAGUACGACAGCGUCUUGAUGCCCCACGUAAAACACAUAAGAGCCCCGACCCUCGCCCCCAUCUUACCUCCAUUCCCGGUUGGACGUUGGCCCCAUCUUCCGAGGCCUGCUGCACGUGCAGCACAUGGAUGGGAACAUGACAAUUAGGGC
rnacentral:lncRNA from 1 species